AAUAUCUUUCUCCAGGCCCCUUGUAAAGGACCCAUUGUAGCCUUUAGUUACUGUCUUAAUAUAUAUAUAUAUUUAACUAGGCAAGUCAGUUAAGUUAAGAACAAAUUCUUAUUUACAAUGAUGGCCUACCCUGGCAAAACCCGGAUGACGCUGGGCCAAUUGUGCGCUCUUGUAUGGUACUCCCAAUCACGACCGGAUGAGAUGCAUCCUGGAUUCAAACCAGGGAUUGCAGUAACUCCUCUUGAGAUGCAGUGCCUUAGACAACUGCGCCACUCCGGAGCACCACUACACUACAUCCACACAACUUGAAAAACAUCCACACAAUGAUUAGGCUAUAGUUAUUGUUUUGUUUUCAAAUUAAUUAUUUGUCCAAUGGCUACAAUCUUCUGACCUGGGAACAGCUGGUGAAUAAACUCUCUGACCAAUCAAAUACAAAGAUUGAGAAAAGGAAACCAUUAGGCCUAGUACUACUAGUAGUUCAAGAACUCAGGAACCCAUAUUGUGCAUGCAAUAAUUUGUAGUGGCCAUGGGAGGGUGGUCUCCACUCAUCUAUCAGCACCAUCAUAAAGGGCUCAUCUGUGCUGUGUAGACAAGGUGCCACCAACUGACUGUAUCAACUAACUCAGAUAUAAUGAGGGUUGUCAUAAGCGGUAGUGACAGACAGACAGACAGACAGACAGACAGACAGACAGGCAGACAGACAGACAGGCAGGCAGGCAGGCAGGCAGGCAGGCAGGCAGGCAGGCAAUCCAUAUUACAACCUAUGUGUUGUGAUAAUUGCAUUGUUUGCUCAAUAAACUCUUAGUUCAUAUGCCUUGCCACCGCUAUAUAUAGGCCUAAGCAGAGUGCGGUGGGUGGGGUCUCUUGGGCGCACGCUCAUGCACAAGUUUUGGGGUGCCUAAUAAUAAAGAUGUAAUUUAACAUUAAAAAUCAAUUAGGCUACCUUAUAAUGUGGCAUGAACACAACCAGUAAGAAUGUUUUCAUCUGAUUGUCAAACAAAUCACUUUAAAAAGUAUGUUACCUGUGGAUGUUCUCCACUCCAAAAUCCGGAAUCUCGGAGAUCUCGGGAAAUGCACUGUAAGUGUAGGCCUACGUAAAAUGUUCUAAUGUUUCGCCGUGAAAACAGUGCUCAUGGGCACACAAAUUCAAAAUAAUGGAAACAUAUGCCAUUGCAAAUUCGAUUGCUUCUUACCGAAAAAGUCAACAAUAGGCCUACUGUCAUUAACUAACGUACAGCCUACUUGUUGGAUGGAUUGGAUGCACAUUGGUGACUAGCUGUAGGCUAGUUGUAUAGUGAUAUUGUCGACCAUCAUCAGUUGAUCCAGAAAAGAAAACUAAUACUCCGGAUGGCACGGAGAACACCAAUACCCAGCUUACCUGAAAAGAACUAUGAGCGCUCUGAACAGCUGACUGACAAAAGCAAACAAUGAUAAAUCACAGAUAGCCUAAAUCUAAUGCAUUGGAAUACAGGCACAGCAAUUUUUUUAAAUCAAGGACUCAUGGGAAACAAAUGGUAGAAAUUAGGAAGUACAAAUGGAAAUAUAUGCGUUUAAAGGAGCUCAGCUGAGGUCGAAAUUCAACACUACUAAGUGAACAGCGCAGCUGUAUAGCCAGCUAUAGAAUUCUACAGUAGGCCUACCAUUCGUUGACAGGGAGACGGUUUGUGCAGCAAAGUAGAAAUAAAUGGUUUAAACCAUGACAGAGAGGUGGGGGUGUCUGUUUAUUUUGAAAGCUUUUAUUUUCAUAUUUACCUCUGUAAAACAUUUUUACCCAUGCAUUUUAAACAAAUGGGAGAAUGGUUAAAUUAGCAUUAUUUAUGUUGAACUUUUGUUGCAUCUAGGGGAGCUAAUUUCUAAUUCAGGGAAGCUGAGCCCCCCACUGGCUCCCCCAUCAUUCGCUCCCUGGGACUAAAGCAGACAAUACGAAUGCACAGUGGCAGAAUAAAUUCAACCACACCUUUGUUUCAUCACAAAACCGGAGAGCAACCUCUGUCAGGUGAAGUCCACAAAGCAAACUGAAUGUCAUAAACAGUUACAUGACCUACAGCAUGGUCAACCAAAUUAAUGUUUCCUACAUGUGUGUUUGUGUGUGUGUGCAUGUGUGCAUUGUGCAAGUAGAAAUAAACAUGUUGAGUCACCCUACUUGUAGAGAAAUGCCAAUGCCAUCCUCCUCUCUUUCAUGUUGAUGAAACGUCUAUGACUCUGUCAUACAGUACACGCUUUUAUUUUUUGUUGUCCUAGGCUACCUGGCAAAAAUGCUUGCUCGCUAGCCUAACUUUCUUUCAUGGGAAAAAAUGAGCCGUAUAGUUAACAUUAGCCUACUACAUCUAGCUACAUAUUGAACUUCCAUCCUCUCAAGCCGGGGGCACAAUGUAUGGAUUUAUGGUUUGAUUAGAAUUGCCGUUAUAAUCAUUGGCCAGUACAGAGAAUUAAGUAAAACCAAGUCCAAAUUCCUAUAUCCAUCCAUGGCUAAUUUAGGAAAGGGCCAAUUUUAGCCAGCUAGCUAGCUUCCAGAGGACAACAAGAUGCAAUAAUAAAAAUGUUCUGUCAAUAACGUUUUGCUUUUGAUGUGAUUGGUGUGAAGCCAAAUCCAUACUGGCUUCCAUUGACACGUUUUAAAUAUUCUUCAAGCUCUGUCAAGUUGGUUUUUGAUCAUUGCUAGACAGCCACUUUCAAGUCUUGCCAUAGAUUUUCAAGCCGAUUUAAGUCAAAAAUGGAACUAGGUCACUCAGGAAUAUUCAAUGUCAUCUUGGUAAGCAAUUUCAGUGUAUAUUGUGGCCUUGUGUUUCAGGUUAUUGUCCUGCUGAAAGGUGAAUUUGUAUCCCAGUAUCUGUUGGAAAGCAAACUGAUCCAGGUUUUCCGCUAGGAUUUUGUCUUAGCUUUAUGCCAUUUAUUUUUAUCCUGUAAAAUUCCCUAGUCCUUGCAGAUGACAAGCAUACCCAUAACGUGAUGCAGCCACCAUCAUGCUUGAAAAUAUGAAGAUUAGUACUCAGUGAUGGGUUGUGUUGGAUGUAUCCCAAACAUAACGCGUUGUAUUCAGGACAUAAAGUUCUUUUUUUUGUGGUUUUACGUUUGUACAGGAUGCAUGUUUUGGAAUUUUUGCAUUAUGUAACGGCUUCGCUCUUUUUUUCACUCUGUCAUUUAGGUUAGUAUUGUGGAGUAACUACAAUGUUGUUGAUCCAUCCUCAGUUUUCUCCUAUCACAGCCAUUAAACUCUGAAACUGUUUUAAGUCACCAUUGGCCUCAUGGUUAAAUCACUGAGCGGUUUCCUUCCUCUCCGGCAACUGAGUUACGAAAGACACCAGUAUCUUUGUAGUGACUGGGUGUAUUGAUACACCAUCCAAAGUGUAAUUAAUAGGUGCUCCCGAGUGUCGCAGAGUUCUAGGGCACUGCAUCUCAGUGCUAGAGGUGUCACUACAGACCCUGGUUCGAUCCCGGGCUGUAUCACAACCGGCCGUGUUCGGGAGUCCCUUAGGGCGGCGCCCAAUUGGAAAUAUGUUUAUCCAUCUACCAAUAAGUACCCUUCUUUGCGAGGCAAUGGAAAACCUCCCUGGUCUUUGUGGUUGAAUCGGUGUUUGAAACCUUACAGAUAAUUGUAUGUGUGUGGGGUACAGAGAUGAAGUAGUCGUUCAAAAAUCAUGUUAUACCAUCCAUGUCUGAGAAUGUUGGGAGAUGAAGUGGAAACCUUAACCAUUACCUUAACCAUUCGGAGUUAAUGCCUAAAGUUAGACUGUGAGAGCUGGUAGUGUUAAACACUUAGCAUCUGCCUGAUCCUAAUGGUUGCAAGUUCGAAUCCAAUGAUAGAAAGUUGGUUUUGAUCUUUUUGUUUUAAGCCUAUCCCAAACCUUAACCAGUCAGAGGUCAUGCCCAACCUUAAUCAUUUGGAGUUAAUGCCUGAACUUAGCCCUAACCUUAAAAAUUGUGAGUUAAAUGAAAAAAAUCAUAAAUCUAAACUAUGUGAGUACACACACCAGGGAUUACCAGGGUGAGUACACUGAGCAGUUGGGAAAAGCUCAUAUUAUGCAUUUAGUGACUGAAUGAAACAAAAAAGAAACUAUGAGCGCUCUGAACAGCUGACUGACAAAAGCAAACCAUUUUUUGCUCAAUUAAUAACUGUAAGUGAGAGGAGAGUGAACUGAGUGGUCAUGUCGUAAUCCCUGGUGUGUUUGUGUUCAUAUGACACAGAAGUUUGUCAACCUUACCGAGUCCUUUUAGUAUUACAUUCAGUGAUGAGCUUUGCCUUCAGCUACUAUCAACAGUGUAUAGUAAAAAAGGAUAUCAAACAUUCAGAUCUGUAUUGAAGUUACAAAACCUCUAGGGCUUAGUCAUCAUUCAAAUCAUGUUGGGGGAGGUUUAUGACCCCCAUAAAUACCUUUCCCCUUUUUCCUCUCUCUACUCUACCGAUGUGACUAUUGAAAAUCCCUGUGUUAACAUAGAGAGUCUGGUGACAUCAAAAGACGGGAAACGGAACCAUAUUUCGGUAAUCCAACCAGUUGAAAAUAUUUGUUGGGACUUAAUGAAUAUGAUGUCAGUUCAGUUGGCGUCUGAGACAUGAUUACUGAUGAUAGGACGACAUAAACGGUAUAUAGGAAAAUCUACACAUUCUAGUUAUCAGAUUCACAUGGAGUUGUUGUGCAAUUUAAAUGUUUAAAUAUGAAACUAUUUGUGAAAAGAUUAAAUGUAAUUUUUAGCUUCUUAAUGAGAGAACGGUUUGUCAGAAGAACACCACUCUGCUCACUCAGAGGCCCCGCCCAAGUGAACAGACAUUGGUUAUAAACUAUGAAAGACGCCCUUCUCUCCUCUCCUACAUAAAGCCCUUGACGAAAAUGUAACUUUCUGUUCCGAGGACGUUAGGGCGACAAUCCUACGUUAAAAGGGCUCAGAUAAUAACCUGUUCCAAGGACAUGUGGACUUGAGGUCCCCACGUUGAAAGGACAAAGACCACCUUCAGAACUAAGCCAACCUCAGCAAGAAUCUAACGAAAUCAGUAUCUAAUUUCAAUGUGAAGGUGAUGACCUACACGCCGGAAGAAUGAAUUUUGACUAUUCCAGCCAGAAUAUAGCAUGAGCAUAUAGCAUGGCAACUUGAUAGGAAUUUUGAAUCCUUAUUCACUAAAGAAGUGAUACCUUCUAGCCGUCGCGUUAGCGCAGCAACUGUAGACGUGGGCUAGGAGAGGACGGACAGAGUAUGUGUUCUACCACAAGACGCCGGUACUACCAAGUAUCCAUUCUACCAUCAGACAUUCUUCAAAGGACAACCCGGCCUCCCAUCUACGACCAACCGAUCGAAGUGCAGCUCAAAGAGAGGAAUGACAUGAAUGACAUUUUGGCUCUCCUCUCUGCUGAGACCGAUCCGGCCCCAGCAGUGCAGGCCCAGCUCUAACAGUGGUCCUUCCUACAGGCUCCCCUUUGGCACCAGCUCCUGCCACAACAAAAGAGGAUUUCUAUGAAGAGUUUCUGCUGGAUACAGAUCUAGCCACACCACCACUGCCCUUGACAGUUUUUCCAGUGGGCCCAUCAAGAGAUGAGGUUGCCUCUUCAUCUUGCACCACGGCCGAUGGACAGAGCCCAUUACAGCUGCCACUGAUGGGCUACUGGCCAAGCACCACAGGGCGGAAGAGAUCCUGAUGCAUGUGGAUCUGCUCUGCUCUUAACACCAGCCCAGAGAAGCUCCUAGAGACACACAGCUAUGGCAUUAUGUUACUGCAGAGAAUGAAAUUUUCAGUGUCCCAGUCACGUCCCCUGUCACCUGCACUUACACAGCAGAAGGCCUCAACAAUUCAAGGAUGCCAUUUGAGGAUUUUGCUGCUGCUGCCUUGUUUAAAUGGGAGCUGGAGGCCUUAAAGCAGAUGGAGGCAGUGAGGAAGGAGCAAACAGAGGAAAGAGACAAUCCUCACAGCAGCAUCCCUCCAACCGUCUGCACAGGCUCUGCCUCCGGCCGCUGAAACAAGGCCCCAAAAGCCGUCUGCACUUGCGCUUCCACGAGCGUCUGAAACAAGGCCCCAACAGCCCUCACACCCAUGCUGGCUUUCUUGGAGUGGAAGGAAAAUAUCUUCUGCCUAGCCAAAGUGUUUUCCCUGUAUCUGGAACAGGGCAUUAGUAGGAGCUUCAACAGUCUCCCUUUUAUGAGACUGAAAAGUAGAUAUGGAUGGUGUAGAAGAGGGAGUGACUUUACAGACACACACACAGAAAUAAAUAGGAGCUGAAAAUCUAUUUCUAAUUAUGAAAGUGGUUUGGACUCGUUUGAUUUUUAUUUAUUUCACAAUCCAUUCUUUAAAAUUACUGUACAUACGUUGAUGCAUAUAACUGUAUAUAUUAUUAUGAAUUGCUGUUUUGUGUAAAUGUUGGACAAAUACCAACAUUUUGUUCUAAUUGUGGUGAAUAUGUCUUCUAUUAUAAACCAAUUUCUAUAGUUGGUGUGUGAAUGUUUGUUGUACAAAGGAUUGUGCUCCAGAACUACCAUAAAUAUGCCUUUGAUUUAAUUAAAUUAAACUUCAAUGUAAAAAUCUUC